ensembl:lncRNA
UGCUUGCUUGCCUUGUCCAGCUGGCAGCCUUCCCGGGUGCUGCAUCCAAGUCCCCAGGCAGCAGUCUCACAUCACAUCACCCCAGGGGAAGGACCUGUGCUGUGCACAGUGCUCACAAGAGCAAGAGAGGAGAUUGGAAAGAAGCAUUCAAGGAACCCAAGAGAAAGGAGACUGAAGUCCUCCAGAGAACUCCAAAACAAAUGGCUGUCCUGAAGCUCUUUUCAGUGGGUAGCUGCCCAGCUGCCUUUACUGACGCUCUCUGAAAUGUCUGCCCAGCAAACCAGGCGUGAAGGGCACCGGAGGAGCGAUCCUUAUCUUCUGGGAACAACGGAGCUCUGCACAGCAAGGCAAGGCUUUGGAGAUGGAUUUCUGCUCCCUCCUUGGUUCAGGAUACUGGCCCCUGGGAAUACAGCCCUUUAUGGAUCCUCACCGAACGAGGCUGGGAUUUAAAAAGCAAAGCUGAACUUUCCGACCUGAAACCUCAAAUCCUUUUCUGAUGGUUUUUGUAACUGGAAAGCGGAAAUAGAGUCUUCAGUAAUUCAAAAGAGAUUUAAUGAUCAAAGCUGCAAUUAAAGGCGUGGUGAGUCAUCUUACAGUCGUCCAUGUGCUAAAACGCACAGGCUGUGCAAGAGAUCAUGUUGUCAUGGCUGGUUUUACUCAAAACGAGGAUAUAGGAGCUGCUAUUACUUCCAGCUUCAGAAACAAUCUGAGUUCUGCUGACCUGUGUUUAUAGAGCAGAAGAAAAGGCAACAGUCCUGACUCCCCCAUUUGUGUAUUUAUUUAGUAGUUCUGUCUGCAGCAUCUGAAUUCAUUAUGGUGCGUUAUUACUUUUCACCUUCUUUCAGAGUGUCUGCUCUCAGUAGGAACUUUGAUUUUUUUUUUCAUUUACACUAACAAAUUACCCACCAAAACAAAUACGGAAGAGCUGAUCUUCAGAGUACUAUGGGGCUUUUUUUCUUUCUGCAGCAUGCAUUAACAAUGAAAUAUUUAACUGAACUUUUCACAGCAUGUGCAUUUUUUCAAAUUAAAAUUGCAAAAGACAAGGAAAUGAAGAUAAAAAUAUCCAACCAAGCUGUUUCUCCGAAACCCUCACAAGUAAUCUAAUAUUUCCCUUUAAAUCCUGUUGUUUUAUUCUGCUCAAUACAAAACAUAGUGCUAAAGACAAUUUGGUUUUAGUAAAGGAGAAACUUCUUCCUAAAAACAUUUAGCCAGUCACACGAAAGCAACUAAAGGGAAGCGGGAGAAUUGGUAACUCUCUACUGGAAAAAUGUAAUAAAAAUUUUGACAAUCUGCUACAAGUCUUGCUUUCCCUGUUCCUCAGUUCCCUUCCUAGUGGUAUUUCAUGUUUUAUUUUCAAUUUCUCAUAAUGGUUGCAGUAUUCAAACUCUAACCCACUAGAAUGUGA